rnacentral:lncRNA from 1 species
ACUUUAUGUAGGAGUGACUUCAAACAUUUAAAAUACUUGAAAUGUUUGGCACAUAGUACGCUGAGUACAAUAGCUAUCAGUAAUAAACAUACAUUAUUAUUAGGUGACUAUAUACCUACACUGAAAUAGUGCUUUGGCCAUGACUUUAAUGGUAAUGAAUCAGGAAUAUAGUACAUCCAGAAAAAGGAAGAGGAAUUUUACCAAUCUAUACAUAAGGCUGCCCUGGAAAGGACUAAGGUAACAUCUAUGGUGUGUGAUAAAGUUAUGGAAAGCGGCUAAAUAUGUGGAUUCAUGAGAUGACAACCAAUAAAAGAGUAUACAUUGGGGAUAUCCCUACACCUUCCUCUCACCUUUGCUAUGAAACUAAAACUACCUUUUUUUUAAAAAAAAGAGCCGUUAGAAAAGUGUAGUGGGCUGCAUAAUUGUGAGCCUAAAAUACAAAGAAAUUUAUAGUCAUAUUACCGAGAAUCAGGGAAAUUUAAACCCUUGUAUAAGUAUUUCAGCCACUUUUAUAAAUAUUUCUUGUCACCGUUGAUCUGAAAAAUUCACAGAGUGCAACUAACAGACUUCAGGGUUGGUCUGCAAACCCUGGAGCCACCCUGAAACAGCCCAGAGAACCAUGCACAACUAGGCAGAGAGAAAGCGACAGAAGAUAGACUGGGUUGAUUGUCUUAGGUAACGACAUGUUAGGAUGAUGCGAAACAUUGUGGAGAGAGAAACACAGAUAUUCCAAGGAUAUUAAGAACUUUUUUACUCUCCUAGAUCUGCAAAUUUCAAGGUUAAAAAAUACAUUUACAAAAUUGAGAUUAGGUCCUUUGGGUUGGAACAGGAU